UUAUAAUUAAAAGACCUCUCUAAAUCGAGUUGACUCUUUUAGGGCAUAUGUCUGAAAAUGAUGUUUUACUGCAUUUCUCACUAGCUUGUCUCUUUUGUCUAUUGCUUCUUUUGGUUUUAGGUCUUGUCGUUCAUAUGCUUUGUUAUUUUUUAUAGAGUAUGCGAGUAUGCUUGGUAUUGAAAACACAAAUUCUAAAGACAAAUUGAAGCUCUGCUUGAUGUUAUAAUCCUCCAGAGAGUUUAUAGUUGCUUCUUACAGGCAAGUAGUCUUAUGCGAUUGCAUCCAAGUUCUCCAUUAUCCAAUCAAGGAUAAGGUGAGUCAAAGGUGAGUUUUAGUUCUGAUGAAUAAAAUUUAGUUCUAUUCUUAGAGAAAGAUAGGAAUACACGGUUUCGAUUAAAUCCUGUAGUCUUUAACAACGGCCUUUUUCUAUUUGGUAGGUUUGGAAUUCUACUUCCCACUCUGCUCUAUGAGUCAGUGGAACACUAGUUUCUCAGCAUCUCAGAUGUCUCUAAAGUAACCUGCAAAAGUUGUGAAUACUGCUACUAAUAGAAAGAUAAUGAUGGGUCAUUUGGAUCUGAAAGUGACUUGUGCCAAUGACAAGUGCUGCCUCUUAGCAAUGACUUUAAAAUUCAUGUGUGGUUCCUCCAAUGUUUUUUUUUUUCUUUCAGCCAUACUUUUCCUAAAAUGUCUGCUCUUUCAACGAAGACCUCAUGUAUCAGUCAGUGGUACCCUGCAGCCAAGCUAACAGUCAAGGGUAAUAAUGGAAACAAGAGGAUGGUUGGAGCUGAGAUUGAUGGAGCUGAGAAACUUACUUUGAACAAUCCUGAAGAGAUGGAGGCAGGUGAUUCUCAGCAUGGUAGAGAAAGAAAUAGCAGCCCAGAGCAGAAGCAGGAAGGCACUCAGGUAAGAAGAAACUUUGUUUUGUCUCUGGGUAAAGAAAUUGGGAAGAGUCGUGACAGAAGAGGAAUUGGUUUUUUUCUUCAUUGAGUAAGGUUUGUCCUGUUUAGUAUUAUUAAAAACCACGGUGUAUUAUUUUUCCAACUGUACAUAUAAUAAUAGGUGAAAAAUUCCCAACAUAGUUUUGUGACCCUUAUCAUUUUACAUGAGUCCAGAUCUUUCUUAUCUUUAUAGAUUCAGGUUACUUCUUAUAUUUUAUUCCAUUCUUUCUCCAAUUUUUAAAAAUUUCACUUAACAUUAAGAUAUUUCUCAGAAAAUAAAAUAAAA
rnacentral:lncRNA from 1 species